AUGGCAUCUGGUGGACAUUCAGGUGCAGGUGUAAAUGCAAUCGAAAUAUCCGGCAUGAGCCCUCUGUCUGAGCUGGUGUGGUCUCCGGAUGAUGGUCUCAGCAUUAAAAUCGCAGCCUCCAGCCUAAGCACAAGAAAAGCCUCUCUUCGCUGGAAUGCGGAUACUUUGAACAUAGUGAUAUCUUCGCCUCAGCAGAGCGGCGGCAAGAGUGGUGAUAACGUAGAUGCCACCCUAAGGGAUGCAGGAGAAAUGCCGUCGCAACCUCGAACUCGAAGUGACAGUUCAGUGAGAGUAUCCGCGGCUAGUCCAAAUAGAACACGAAACCUUGAUGCGCAACAAUCUACUUCUAUACGACCACAGGAACAAGAUUCAAAAUGCUCUGGAGGGAUCAGUGAGAUGAGUGAGGGGGAAGAAUUGUCUGACAGCUGCUGUGCAGAUAAGUUGAAUAAAGAGGAAGCGGAUAUUUGCCCCACAAGAUGCUCCAACGAUGCUUCGCACAGUCUGGCUUCAAAAAAAGGCAGCCUGCAAAGUAUUUCGGAAAAACAGGUCUACUGUGCAACCGCUGUCCAUAAUGAGAGAUCUUGGGCAGAUAAUACCUGGCGAGCUCGAUUAGUAAAAGCAAUUAGUCAGAGGGACUAUGUUUUGCCAAACAAUGCAGUGAAUGCACAGUCACCUUCAUCCUUUGGGAGUUUCAGUAAUACAAAAAAGGUCCCAGGCAAGUUGGCAGGUUUUCUAGAUAACCAAAGCGAUAAGCACCAAGAUCUGGUUAUGCAGGACAACUGUAAUGGUAAUCAGGAAGAUCGGGUUAUGCAGGAAAACUGUAAUGGUGAUCACCAAGACCAGGUUAUGCAGGAGCACCAUAAGGAUGGGCCUAUUCUUGUCAAAUGUCAGUCAGCCUCCGGUGUUAACCCUGUUUCAAAAUGUGAUUCGGCAUCCGGUGUUAAUUCUGUUGCAAGAUAUGAGUCAACACCAGAUGUUAAUCCUGCAAGGCUUGAGAAGGGCAAAGAAAAGGUAAUGCACGACCAGAGCAAUUAUGUCAGCAACACAAAAGAGGGUGAUGAUAGCAAUGAGAGUAUGGAGAGUUGUCCUAGGAUGAAAGCUCCAAAGAGAGAGUAUGCUCAAUACUCAACAGCGGAGAUGUCUUCUCGGAAUAAAAGAUAUAGAAGGGAAUACAAUGAAAGUUAUUGCUCAGGAUUGUUGAACAGAAAUGGCAGCUCUUUCUUUAACUGGAUGUCUUCUCUGACUAAUGGAUCAACUGUGUUUGAUAAAACUACCAAUCAGAAGUUGUCAGAGACUACUGGACAUGAACUUGCAGGACAUUCUCUGCCACUAGAAAAUAACAGUAGCAAUCGUCUGCAGUCUGUUGGCUUCAAUUCUCUUUUUCAAUCUCUUUAUAGUCAUAACGUUAUGAUAACUUCAAGAGAUACCCCUCAUCAAUCAGAAAUCAAUCACACCGAGCGUGAAGCCGACAGGCUAUCACUGACUUUGAAUGGUAGCAAUUCUAUGCUUGACAAGGAAAUUAGCACAGGCAGAGAAACUCUUGAUGUGGCUGUUGAGACUUUAGCUGCUGACAACCUUCAAAUGGAGUCACCUGGUGGUAAAUGGAAUUUUAGAGAUCAAAGUGGAGUUUUCCCUUUGAGAGCCGGAAGAAACUUGAAGAUGCCUAACUCCAGUAAGUCAUGUUCUAAAACUCUUGAAGAAAAACAAAAUGAGUGCCAUGCGAGCCCUUUGAAUGCUGCAAUGGGAAAUAAAGGUGGAAUCACAGAAAGCUUGUGGGUAAGUCGGCUUUUACCAAAAACAUCAAUGAAAUUGACGGAUGCAACUCCAUGCAAUGUAUAUAGUGAUUUUUGUGCUGUCAAUCCAAAGGGUGCAGGUGAUAAGCUGUAUCCUUCAUCUCAACAGAAUGUUAAUGUGGAGAAGGAAUUCAACAGUUCACAAUACUUCACUAGCACAGGAAGUGACAAUGAGACAACAAGUAGCAAAUGCCCGGUGAUUCCUCCAGAGGAACAUAAGCAGUCUGAAACAAUGGCUUCCAUUCUUGCAAAGAGAUUGGAUGCGCUUAGACAUGCGAAGACCUCUGCAAUUAGGUUGGCUAUCUCCAGUGGAAUAACUAAAGACCAUAAUCACAGAAAGAGUCCUUUUUUUAUUAAUUACAGCAGCCAUGAUGGACUAGAGACAGGACAAGGAACUCAAAAAUCUUCGAGUGGUGGUGGAAGGCUAGUUUUGUGGUCUGGUGACAAAGGAAAGGAACAAUUAUAUCCUCUCAGUGAUGAGGAAUUAAGAGGAAACAUGUUGGCAAGAGGUGAACAUCAGCAAUGUGGAGGGAGCAUGACUGGAAAGGCUGUAGCUCCUCAUGAUAAUUUAGAAGCAAACACGUCUGCUGAAUAUGUUGAUAGAAGAGGAGUACAAAUAAAGGAAGUGGGUUCAAAUUCCAUGGAGAGUCUGCCACAUAACAAGCAAAUUGUACCUUAUAAUAUUAUUACAAGUGACAUUGAUCAAUCAAGUGUUGUUUUUGGAGCCUUGCAGAGGCUUCGUUUGUCUCGAUCAGACAUCAUAAGAUGGUUGUUGUCACCAAUAAUGCACACUACUUUGGAUGGCUUUUUCUUGCGUCUACGUUUCGGUAAAUGGGAGGAAGCAUUGGGUGGCACAGGAUACCAUGUCGCUCGGAUAAAUGGAGCACUGGAUAGAAAUCGCCUCUCUGUAACGAUCAGGAAUUCAACUUGCCAAGUAGAUUCUCGCUUUGUAUCCAACCAUGGCUUCCAUGAGGAUGAGCUCAAGGCGUGGUGGUCUGCUGCCAUGAAGGGUGGCUGGAAACUACCGUCGGACGAAGAACUUAGCAAGAAGCUAAGAGAAAGAGAGCUACUUCAUUUCGGAAAUGGAACAGGUCAGCCCGACAACACCUGA
rnacentral:rRNA from 1 species